CUGGUCACUGGCACCAGCUAGACCUAGUCCUCACCAGAAGAAAAGACCUCCGCGAAACCAUUCACACGCGUACAUUCCACAGCGCUGAAUACAAAUACAAAUAUAGUU